rnacentral:rRNA from 1 species
GAUGAACGCUGGCGGCGUGCCUAAUACAUGCAAGUCGAGCGAACGGACGAGAAGCUUGCUUCUCUGAUGUUAGCGGCGGACGGGUGAGUAACACGUGGAUAACCUACCUAUAAGACUGGGAUAACUUCGGGAAACCGGAGCUAAUACCGGAUGAUAUUUUGAACCGCAUGGUUCAAAAGUGAAAGACGGUCUUUCUGUCACUUAUAGAUGGAUCCGCGCUGCAUUAGCUAGUUGGUAAGGUAACGGCUUACCAAGGCAACGAUGCAUAGCCGACCUGAGAGGGUGAUCGGCCACACUGGAACUGAGACACGGUCCAGGCUCCUACGGGAGGCAGCAGUAGGGAAUCUUCCGCAAUGGGCGAAAGCCUGACGGAGCAACGCCGCGUGAGUGAUGAAGGUCUUCGGAUCGUAAAACUCUGUUAUUAGGGAAGAACAUAUGUGUAAGUAACUGUGCACAUCUUGACGGUACCUAAUCAGAAAGCCACGGCUAACUACGUG